AUUUUUUCUUCAACCAAAGAAGAAAAUCACCAUUAAAGACUUUUCCCAUCAGUUUCGCCGCCCUUGUUGCCUUUCUUUCAUCACAAUCAAAAUCCAAUCUUUUUCUUCUUGUUUUCUUCCAAAGAUCCAAUAUUUUCUCUCCGAUACACCCAGAAAAAGUGACAUGUAACAGAAUCCACCUUCCAAUAAUAGCAAUUUCAUUUCUAAAAAUACUUCUGAUGGAUUUUUUGUGUUUUUCGUUUCACUUCCCAAAAGGGUUUUUGCUUUAUCAAACAUACCCUUUCCUAUCAAACUUCUCAUAAUUUUUUUUUCUGAAUUUUGGGAUUUUUUAAAAACUCUUUUUUUUUUGUGUGUGUGGGGUGGAGAAAAGGUUAAAGAUGAGUAUAGCCAAGUCCCAGGUUUGGCAACCUUGUAAAAAGAAGAGGAUUUAGCUUUAGGCAUAUAAUUAUAUUAAGAAAAUAAAAAGAUUUCUGAAAAAAAGAAGAAGAGGGAUUUGAAGAUCUAUAAGGAAGAAGAUUUGGAUUGAAUAAGGGAGAUGGGUUCAAGAUCAAAUAAUGGAAGUGGGACUGGGAGGACAAGAGUGGGAAGGUAUGAACUUGGGAGGACAUUGGGGGAGGGUACUUUUGCAAAAGUGAAAUUUGCUAGGAAUGUUGAAACUGGUGAUAAUGUAGCCAUAAAGAUUCUUGAUAAAGAGAAGGUCAUGAAGCACAAGAUGAUUGGUCAGAUUAAACGGGAAAUAUCAACCAUGAAACUUAUUAGACACCCCAAUGUAAUCCGGAUGUAUGAGGUCAUGGCCAGCAAGUCGAAGAUAUAUAUUGUUUUGGAAUUUGUUACUGGUGGCGAACUAUUUGACAAAAUUGCUAGUAAAGGUAGGCUCAAAGAAGAUGAAGCAAGAAAGUAUUUUCAGCAGCUUAUCAAUGCAGUGGACUACUGUCAUAGUAGAGGUGUAUUCCACAGAGACCUCAAGCCUGAGAACUUGUUAUUGGAUGCCAAUGGUGUUCUUAAAGUUUCGGAUUUCGGAUUGAGUGCGCUGCCUCAGCAAGUUCGCGAAGAUGGACUUCUACAUACAACAUGUGGAACACCAAAUUAUGUUGCUCCUGAGGUUAUCAAUAAUAAAGGCUAUGAUGGAGCAAAGGCAGAUUUAUGGUCAUGUGGUGUGAUUCUUUAUGUCUUAAUGGCUGGUUACUUGCCUUUUGAAGAAUCCAACCUUAUGGCUCUCUAUAAAAAGAUAUUUAAGGCGGACUUCACAUGUCCUCCAUGGUUCUCCUCAAGUGCAAAGAAACUCAUCAAAAGAAUUCUGGAUCCUAAUCCUUUGACGCGUAUUACUAUUGCUGAGCUUAUUGAAAAUGAGUGGUUUAAGAAAGGAUAUAAGCCACCUACUUUUGAACAAGCUGAAGUUAGUCUUGAUGAUGUGAACUCUAUCUUCAAUGAAUCAGGGGAUUGUCAAAACCUUGUUGUGGAGAGUCGAGGAGAAGCUCCAAUAGGGCCUGUGGCACCUAUAACAAUGAAUGCAUUUGAACUUAUUUCUACAUCUCAGGGCCUCAACCUCAGUAGUCUUUUUGAGAAGCAAAUGGGACUUGUGAAACGGGAAACCAGAUUUACAUCCAAACGUUCAGCUAAUGAGAUAAUCUCAAAAAUUGAAGAAACUGCAAUGCCUUUGGGUUUUGAAGUUAAGAAAAAUAACUUCAAGAUGAAGCUGCAAGGGGAGAAGACUGGACGUAAGGGUCAUUUAUCUAUUGCAACUGAGAUCUUUGAGGUGGCCCCUUCUCUUUAUAUGGUUGAACUUCGCAAAUCUGGUGGAGAUACCCUAGAAUUUCACAAGUUUUACAAGAACCUGUCAGCUGGACUAAAAGAUAUUGUUUGGAGAACCAUUGAUGAAGAAAAGGAAGAAGGAAAAGAGAAGAUAAAUGGUGCUGCUGUGGUACCGUCACUGACAUGAUAUGUGGGGUUCGUUUAGUGGUUGAAUUGUGUAAAUGGGUGGAAACUCCAAAUGCAAUAAUUUUUUAAGAUUGUUAUGUUGGAUUGUUAUGAAAAGUAUGAAGCAUCUAUUUUAAUUUUCCUUAGAAUGAACUUUUGUGGUUCAGAACUUGCUUAUGUAUACCUUGGCUUGGCUUGAUUUGGUUCAAACCUGUAAUGUAUUGUAAACUUUCCUCAUUCCUUGGUAGGAAAAACAUAAUCAUAUUGUGAAUAAGACAAAAUUUCUGUGUCUCGCUUGCAGAUGCAUGCACAUUCUUCAC
rnacentral:misc_RNA from 1 species